CAAAUUUUAAAAUAUAAAUAUCACUGUUCGUUUUCAAUCUUGACACCUAUCUAUUGCGUAUAUGUUUUUUUUUUUUUUAAUUGCAGCCAGCAUUAGCUGGGUAUAACUGGAGGCUCAGCUCCAAAUCAACCUCUUCAAAUCCUCCAACUUAAAGGACGAAGGAUGGUUGGUAUGGAAUAUCGAGACUAGAUCCAUAGUAGGUGGUGACGGUGGCACUUCCAUUAGAUCCAUAGAAACUCGAAGAAGAGCACUGAGAGAUUAUGCAGAGAAAUUAGUGGUCUUUCAUUCCAAAGCAGCCAAGGAAGCAACUUCAUACGUGAAAGUGUCGCCACCGCUGCCUACUAUGGAUCUAUUCCCGUAGUUAGAUGUUUCAUACCAACCGCGUACCCUUUGAAAAGAUUGAUUUGGAGCUGAGGAUAGGAAUCAAGUGAAGUGUCAACUACGACAUUCGAUUUAUACCCAGCUUAGGUUUCUGUAUGGCUUUGUGAUUUUGAGAUUCGUUUUUUAGUGUGGUAAUUUUUUUUUUUCUUACAAAAAAAAUACGGGCCGUACAUAUAGAAAAUGUUAUGUGUAGGAAAUUUUGUAUGGUCGCAUGAUAAAUUCUUUAAGUAUUUCAUUAAGUAUUUUUUGUUGGUUUAUUUUUUUUAUUCCUUGAGAUGUGCUGUUGUAUUUAAAUAGCAUGCAAGGAUACCAUAUGGUAUGAUCGGAAAAAUAAUAAGUGCUUGAACUUCUCCUAUCACUUUUGCAGCAACCUGUUAGCAAUAUUUGCAUUAACCUUGAAAAUAUUUGUCAGAGGUUGAGCUUCCAAUCAUGGUCAAACAAUAUGGUAUCCUUGCUGUGUUCUACAUGUUCUGGAUUUCUGCUGCUCUCCAUUUGUUCAGCAUAUGAUCUAAAUGGAGAAAAAGGUGAUCUGUGAUCGUUGUUGUGUAUACAGCAUUCGUUACACACCACAUAUUGGAGGUGCCAUCCUUUUUCACCUAUUUGGGUGUUAUUGGGCAACACAAUUUUUCAUAGCAUGCUCAUCAACAGUGAUUGCUGGAUUUGUUGCAUCUUAUUAUUGGACCCGUGGUGAAGCAUCUCCAUAAAUUCCUUUUAUUUCGGUCGUUUACUCCAUGAAAGAGGCUUACGCGUUACAGUCUAGGUUCUGUGGCUCUUGGCUAUCUGAGUGUGUCAUUUGUGGAGUCAAUCCGCUUUCUGCUUGAAGCUAUACGCCGCAAACUGAGUCUCUCCAAUCACGUGCCUGACAGCUGGAUUGGCAAGGCUGCAUACCAAUCUUCUCAAUGUUUUCUAAGGUGUAUUGAAUAGACCAUCAAAUUAGUGAAACCCAAAUGCUUACAUCAUUGUAAAAUUUUGUUAAUCUGCGAUAAAUCAAUUAUGCAAGCAAAAAGUAAAACUCCAAUGAGCAAAAGGAGGUCUGAAAAAGACAAACAUCUCAAAAUUCCACCUGCACUCUCAAUUUUUAUUUUUAUUUUUCCUUUUCUUUAAGGAAAUUAAAAUUGGAAACAGAACAAAUAUUCUCUUGAGUAUUCUGUAGCAUUAUGUAUAUUCUUGUUAAUGGUUGAGCCGUUGAAUUUGCUGGAAGCAGUGGCUAAGUGGCCACGGCUGUGUUUGAUUUUGAAAGCAUUUUUGCAGCAAAGAGAACUAAAUGAGGUAUAUUCUGGUGGGGUUGGUUCUUAUGCCCUCCUUGCCAUGCUGAUGGCCAUGUUGCGGGUUAGCGAUUCUUAAAUAUGCUUUCAAAGUUCACUGUUUCCUCACUGGCCUUCACUAUAAGGCUUUUCUAUUCAAACAUAUGAUCCACCUCUAUAUCAACGAUUGAAAUAAAAUUCACUUUUUUUUUUCUUCUUUCUAAUGCAUUGUAAUCUUUGGCAUUGCAUAAAACUCAAAAGCACUUCUUUUUGCCAAUGACAUGCUCUAAGUUUGUGACCAUUACAUGUCUCUUGUCCUCUGUUCAGUUUGUUUUAGUGGAGUUUUUAGUGGGUGUAGUUGGGGAUAAUAUGGGUUGAAUUGUCUCUUGUCCUCUGUUCAGUUUGUUUUAGUGGAGACUCGAUGUCUGAAUUCUUGAGCUUCUUUGGAUUCUUUUUUUUUUUUCGUAUCUAUAUGUUGGAGGAUCUUUGAUAAUCUUCCCUU